GCCGCCGUAGUAUAGCCCGGUCAAGUAUGCGGGCCUCUCGAGCCCGUGACACCCUAGGCCCGUGAGGGUGCGGGACACCCGGGUUCAAAUCCCGGCGGCGGCA
rfam:Thermogladius cellulolyticus 1633, complete genome.